GAUGAACGCUGGCGGCGUGCCUAAUACAUGCAAGUCGAGCGAACAGACGAGUAGCUUGCUCCGUUGACGUUAGCGGCGGACGGGUGAGUAACACGGGGAUAACCUACCUAUAAGACUGGGAUAACUUCGGGAAACCGGUGCUAAUACCGGAGAAUAUUUCGAACCGCAUGGGUCGAUAGUGAAAGAUGGCUCUGCUAUCACUUAUAGAUGGACCUGCGCCGUAUUAGCUAGUUGGUAAGGUAACGGCUUACCAAGGCAACGAUACGUAGCCGACCUGAGAGGGUGAUCGGCCACACUGGAACUGAGACACGGUCCAGACUCCUACGGGAGGCAGCAGUAGGGAAUCUUGCGCAAUGGGCGAAAGCCUGACGGAGCAACGCCGCGUGAGUGAUGAAGGUCUUCGGAUCGUAAAACUCUGUUAUUAGGGAAGAAAAAACGUGUAAGUAACCGUGCACGUCUUGACGGUACCUAAUCAGAAAGCCACGGCUAACUACGUG
rnacentral:rRNA from 1 species